AGGCGGGAAGGAGGCCUCUCACUCCCCAAUGGAAUGGGACAGCGACUUCCAAGAGGGUUUCGAGCAAGCUCUUCUCAAGUGCGACCAGACGAAAGAAGCAACAAGAUUGGAUAGCUUGGCUGACAGAAAAAAGAAACAGUAUGGCAAUGCAUCUCGACCAACUUCUCCACCAGUUCGCGAAGACAGUAGACGGCCGCCAGUGAGCCGAAAUACCGAAAACCCAAGCAUCGGGAAAGCAAGGCCACAGA